CUGGCUCAGGAUGAACGCUAGCUACAGGCUUAACACAUGCAAGUCGAGGGGCAGCAUGGUCUUAGCUUGCUAAGGCCGAUGGCGACCGGCGCACGGGUGAGUAACGCGUAUCCAACCUGCCUUACACUCUUGGACAGCCUUCUGAAAGGGAGAUUAAUACAAGAUGUUAUCAUGAGUAAGCAUUUUCGCAUGAUUAAAGGUUUACCGGUGUAAGAUGGGGAUGCGUUCCAUUAGAUAGUAGGCGGGGUAACGGCCCACCUAGUCUUCGAUGGAUAGGGGUUCUGAGAGGAAGGUCCCCCACAUUGGAACUGAGACACGGUCCAAACUCCUACGGGAGGCAGCAGUGAGGAAUAUUGGUCAAUGGAUGAGAGUCUGAACCAGCCAAGUAGCGUGAAGGAUGAAGGUUCUAUGGAUUGUAAACUUCUUUUAUACGGGAAUAAACGAAUCCACGUGUGGAUUUUUGCAUGUACCGUAUGAAUAAGGAUCGGCUAACUCCGUGCCAGCAGCCGCGGUAAUACGGAGGAUCCGAGCGUUAUCCGGAUUUAUUGGGUUUAAAGGGAGCGUAGAUGGGUUGUUAAGUCAGUUGUGAAAGUUUGCGGCUCAACCGUAAAAUUGCAAUUGAUACUGGCAGUCUUGAGUACAGUUGAGGUAGGCGGAAUUCGUGGUGUAGCGGUGAAAUGCUUAGAUAUCACGAAGAACUCCGAUUGCGAAGGCAGCUUACUAACCUGUAACUGACAUUGAUGCUCGAAAGUGUGGGUAUCAAACAGGAUUAGAUACCCUGGUAGUCCACACGGUAAACGAUGAAUACUCGCUGUAGGCGAUAUACAGUCUGCGGCCAAGCGAAAGCAUUAAGUAUUCCACCUGGGGAGUACGCCGGCAACGGUGAAACUCAAAGGAAUUGACGGGGGCCCGCACAAGCGGAGGAACAUGUGGUUUAAUUCGAUGAUACGCGAGGAACCUUACCCGGGCUUAAAUUGCAACCGAAUAUGGCGGAAACGCUAUAGCUAGCAAUAGCGGUUGUGAAGGUGCUGCAUGGUUGUCGUCAGCUCGUGCCGUGAGGUGUCGGCUUAAGUGCCAUAACGAGCGCAACCCUUGCCGAUAGUUACUAACAGGUUAUGCUGAGGACUCUGUCGGGACUGCCAUCGUAAGAUGUGAGGAAGGUGGGGAUGACGUCAAAUCAGCACGGCCCUUACGUCCGGGGCUACACACGUGUUACAAUGGGGGGUACAGAGGGCUGCUACCACGCAAGUGGAUGCCAAUCCCAAAAACCUCUCUCAGUUCGGAUUGAAGUCUGCAACCCGACUUCAUGAAGCUGGAUUCGCUAGUAAUCGCGCAUCAGCCACGGCGCGGUGAAUACGUUCCCGGGCCUUGUACACACCGCCC
rnacentral:rRNA from 1 species